rnacentral:rRNA from 1 species
CCUACGGGAGGCAGCAGUGAGGAAUAUUGGUCAAUGGGCGGAAGCCUGAACCAGCCAAGUAGCGUGCAGGAUGACGGCUUUCGGGUUGUAAACUUCUUUUGUCAGGGAAGAGUAGAAGACGGUACCUGACGAAUAAGCCACGGCUAACUACGUGCCAGCAGCCGCGGUAAUACGUAGGUGGCAAGCGUUGUCCGGAUUUACUGGGUGUAAAGGGCGUGUAGCCGGGUUGACAAGUCAGAUGUGAAAUCCUGCGGCUUAACCGCAGAACUGCAUUUGAAACUGUUGAUCUUGAGUACUGGAGAGGCAGAUGGAAUUCCUAGUGUAGCGGUGAAAUGCGUAGAUAUUAGGAGGAACACCAGUGGCGAAGGCGGUCUGCUGGACAGCAACUGACGGAGAGGCGCGAAAGCGUGGGGAGCAAACAGGAUUAGAUACCCGAGUAGUC